rnacentral:rRNA from 1 species
UCCUCCCUCUUUCCUCGUGCCUAAUACAUGCAAGUUGAGCGCUGAAGGUUGGUACUUGUACCAACUGGAUGAGCAGCGAACGGGUGAGUAACGCGUGGGGAAUCUGCCUUUGAGCGGGGGACAACAUUUGGAAACGAAUGCUAAUACCGCAUAAAAACUUUAAACACAAGUUUUAAGUUUGAAAGAUGCAAUUGCAUCACUCAAAGAUGAUCCCGCGUUGUAUUAGCUAGUUGGUGAGGUAAAGGCUCACCAAGGCGAUGAUACAUAGCCGACCUGAGAGGGUGAUCGGCCACAUUGGGACUGAGACACGGCCCAAACUCCUACGGGAGGCAGCAGUAGGGAAUCUUCGGCAAUGGACGAAAGUCUGACCGUGCAACGCCGCGUGAGUGACGAAGGUUUUCGGAUCGUAAAACUCUGUUGGUAGAGAAGAACGUUGGUGAGAGUGGAAAGCUCAUCAAGUGACGGUAACUACCCAGAAAGGGACGGCUAACUCCGUG